AAGACUAUAGACCUGCGGAGUACCUGCGAAGGAUCAUUAUUGAAUUAUGUUUCUAAAUGGGUUGUAGCUGGCUCGUCAGAGCAUGUGCACGCCUGUUUGGACUUCAUUUUCAUCCACCUGUGCACCUAUUGUAGUCUUUGGUUGGGUAUCAAGGAAGUGGUCAGCCUAUCAGCACUUGCUGGAUGUGAGGACUUGCAGUGUGAAAGCUUUGCUGUCCUUUACUUGAUCAUGGAGUUGUUU
rnacentral:misc_RNA from 1 species